UACGUAGGUCCCGAGCGUUGUCCGGAUUUAUUGGGCGUAAAGCGAGCGCAGGUGGCUUAUUAAGUCUGGUGUAAAAGGCAGUGGCUCAACCAUUGUAUGCAUUGGAAACUGGUAGACUUGAGUGCAGGAGAGGAGAGUGGAAUUCCAUGUGUAGCGGUGAAAUGCGUAGAUAUAUGGAGGAACACCGGUGGCGAAAGCGGCUCUCUGGCCUGUAACUGACACUGAGGCUCGAAAGCGUGGGGAGCAAGCAGG
rnacentral:rRNA from 1 species